GGGGAUAUAGCUCAGUUGGUAGAGUGCUUGCCUUGCAAGCGCAAGGCCCUGGGUUCGAUCCCCAACACUCACA
rnacentral:tRNA from 1 species